AACGAACGCUGGCGGCAUGCCUAACACAUGCAAGUCGAACGGGACCUCCGUGUCUAGUUGCGCACGGGUGCGUAACGCGUGGGAACCUGCACUUAGGUUCGGAAUAACUCCCCGAAGGGGGUGCUAAUACCGGAUAGUGUCUUCGGACCAACGAUUUAUCGCCUUUGGAUGGGCCCGCGUUGGUUUAGCUAGUUGGUAGUGUAAAAGCCUACCAAGGCGACGAUGCAUAGCUGGUCGGAGAGGAGGAUAAGCCACACUUGGACUGAGACACGGCCUAGAAUCGUACGCAACGGAGCAGUGGGGAAUAUUGGACAAGGGGGGAAAGUGUGACCCAGCAAUGCCGGGUGAGUGAGGAUGGGGGUAGUGAUGUAAAGCUGUUUUAGCCGGGGUGAGAAUGACAGUACCGGGAGAAUAAGCUCCGGCUAACUCCGUG
rnacentral:rRNA from 1 species